UACGUAGGGGGCAAGCGUUGUUCGGAAUUACUGGGCGUAAAGGGCGCGUAGGCGGACAGUUUAGUCAGAGGUGAAAGCCCAGGGCUCAACCUUGGAAUUGCCUUUGAUACUGGCUGUCUUGAGUUCGGGAGAGGUGAGUGGAAUGCCGAGUGUAGAGGUGAAAUUCGUAGAUAUUCGGCGGAACACCAGUGGCGAAGGCGACUCACUGGCCCGAUACUGACGCUGAGGCGCGAAAGCGUGGGGAGCAAACAGG
rnacentral:rRNA from 1 species